AAAGAAAUGACUUAGUAAACAACCUUUUUUUCCCUCCAAGAGGACAAGAGGAAGAGCUAGAGACAAUUUCAGCACAACUCAGGAGGACGGAGAAGAAUACCUUCCUCAUCCACAAUAGACGCUCAGUAAAGGGUCAUUGAAUAAACAACUCGAUUUCAAAGUCAGUGAGUUCAAGGAAAAGAAAGUUCUAAGUUUGAACAUCUAGAAAAUGAUUUGGCGUAUGCUUCAUACUCAUGAUGAAUGCCAUCAGGAGACGGUCAUUGGAGCCUUUACCAAGCCUGACACAAUCUCCGGCAUUGAGACAUGCACAUAUGCAAGACACAGAACUCCAACCUCAGAUCUGAAGAGGAAAUCUCCAGGUGAAUUGUGAUUUCAGGCUGAAUCUUAAAAUUUGUUUCUGCUUUGGAGGUACCUUUAUCUAAACCAUCACCCAGACGCCUGAGAAUUAGGACUCUGCCCUAUCCUACAAGUAGGAUUUCCCUCCCCUUGAAGGAGACCCUCUGAGUGGUUUUUCAGGUUAAUACGAAAGAAGCUUCAAGAUGCAAAUGAACUGAGUAACCAUGACAACAAAGAAGGGAAGAAAACAAAACAAGCCAAUUAUGCCUCUGCAAAUUCCUUCCUGAACUACCUAGGUGAGAGGGAACAUAGCUGUCAGCAAGCCUAAUGGUCAAUGACCAAUGCAGAAGGAUUUAGGGCUAGUGGCACUUGGGGCAGCUGUGGUAGGGGAGGAAGCCAGGCCUUCAGAAGUCACUGCUACAAGCUCAUGUUACCAUGAUAACAUGUUUGUGUGUAGCGUGUGUGUCUGUGUGUGAGUGUGUGUUUUCUGUUUAUUGAGUACCUAUAUAUCAAUAACAUGCAGUAAGCUGCAUUAUAUUUUACUUCAUUAUCUUCAGUUCAGGUCUUCUUGGAUUUUUUCUCUAAAAGCAUCUUAGACAUAGCUCCACCCAAGUCCUUAACUCCUCAAAGUCCAAUUGGCAUAGGGUAGAGCAGUCCUUCUCCAACUGUAAUAUGCAUAUAAAUCACCUGAGCAUCCUGUUAAAAUGCAAAUUCUGAUUCAGGAGGUGUGGUGGUCGGGUGCCAGGAUUCUGUACUUUUAUUUUUUUAAAGCUUAUUUAUUUAUUU
rnacentral:lncRNA from 12 species